rnacentral:rRNA from 1 species
CCUACGGGUGGCAGCAGUGAGGAAUAUUGGUCAAUGGGCGGAAGCCUGAACCAGCCAAGUCGCGUGAGGGAUUAAGGCCCUGCGGGUCGUAGACCUCUUUUGCCGGGGAGCAGUGGGCCGGACGCGUCCGGGCCGGGAGAGUAACCGGAGAAAAAGCAUCGGCUAACUCCGGGCCAGCAGCCGCGGUAAUACGGAGGAUGCGAGCGUUAUCCGGAUUUAUUGGGUUUAAAGGGAGCGUAGGUGGAUUGUUAAGUCAGUUGUGAAAGUUUGCGGCUCAACCGUAAAAUUGCAGUUGAAACUAGCAGUCUUGAGUACAGUAGAGGUGGGCGGAAUUCGUGGUGUAGCGGUGAAAUGCUUAGAUAUCACGAAGAACUCCGAUUGCGAAGGCAGCUCACUGGACUGCAACUGACACUGAGGCUCGAAAGUGUGGGUAUCAAACAGGAUUAGAUACCCCAGUAGUC